AUAUCAGUCAGCGGAGGAAAAGAAACCAACAGGGAUUCCCUUAGUAACGGCGAGUGAAGCGGGAAUAGCUCAGGCUGGAAAUCAAGCGGGCACAUGUGCGCGCCUUGACGUGUGGUCUGACGAGGCAUGCUCGGCGGCCGGUAGAUGCUCAAGUCCUCUGGAAAGGGGCACCGUGGAGGGUGAGAGUCCCGUUCGCAGCGUCGCGCCGGUGGCCAUGAGAGCAGUCUUCAGAGAGUCGGGUUGCUUGGGAGUGCAGCCCAAACGGGGUGGUAUACGCCAUCCAAGGCUAAAUAUUGGCGAGAGACCGAUAGCGAACAAGUACUGUGAAGGAAAGUUGAAAAGCACUCUGGAGAGAGAGUCAAAGAGCACGUGAAAUUGCUGGCAGGGAAGCGCUGGGCGACAGUGCGCAUGCGCGCAGGAACAGGCUUGCGGCGGUGGUCUGCGGGCGGACACGAUGUGACCGCGUGUGGUGCUGCUGGCGGGGGCUGCAUGCCUGCGGGUGUGGGCCAGCAUCGGUUGCGGGCGGGUGGAGGACGGCUGAGUGGGGGACAUUUCGGUGUUUCCCACACGGUGCGGCACACCCGG
rnacentral:rRNA from 1 species